rnacentral:lncRNA from 1 species
CUCUGAUGAUUUUCUUGUGUACUUUAAAGCAUACACAGUACUGAACAGAAUUAUCACCCAGCAUGGCUCCAAAGGAAGUGCAAAGCAAGCAUGGUAAUAAAAAGAAAGCUCAGAGCAGUAAUGAAGGUGACAAGGAUGUGUGAAGCAAUAAUGAAGGCAAGAAGACAGUGCAGAGCAAGAAUAAAAAGAAGGUUUUCAACAAAGUAAUCGUUGAAUUGAAGAAAGAAAUCAUAGAAAACGAGGAGCAUGGUAUUUACAUGAGUGAUUUGGCCUGAAGUAAGAGAAGGCAAAGCCAACAAUCACGACUACAGUGAUACCUCAGUCAUGAACUCAGUUCUGGAAGCAAGCUGGAAGCAAGAACAGAAUCAAAUUUCCCCAUAAGAGGGUUCCGUAGUCCAGGAAAGAACAAGUGACAAACAAGUGAUAGUAGACAAAUUAUUCAUUAAAACUGAUCCCUUGGCUAAGAGACAAAGAAGAGAGGAACGCCCUGAAGGAGAUCUGCCCCAUGUCUUUAUGGGGGGACUCUCCCUCUGAACAGUAACCUCAUCCUCAUCCAUCCGCCUGUCCUCCCUGCGGAAGUCACUUCAAGCAAAGUCACAAAACAGAAUUUUGAAUAACUAAUGGAACAAGCAAAUUCAUGAUAAAAAAGAAGAGAUUUCCUACCUUUCUUUUGCUCUGGACUCUCAUUAAAAUAUGUCCAAUGUGCCAGUGUAUCAAAUUAAGAAGAGGACAAAGAUCUUUCAUCAAAGCCCCUGAA